rnacentral:rRNA from 1 species
UACGUAGGGGGCUAGCGUUGUCCGGAAUCAUUGGGCGUAAAGCGCGUGUAGGCGGUCCGGUAAGUCCGCUGUGAAAGUCGAGGGCUCAACCCUCGAAUGCCGGUGGAUACUGUCGGGCUAGAGUCCGGAAGAGGCGAGUGGAAUUCCUGGUGUAGCGGUGAAAUGCGCAGAUAUCAGGAGGAACACCGAUGGCGAAGGCAGCUCGCUGGGACGGUACUGACGCUGAGGCGCGAAAGCGUGGGGAGCAAACAGG